GAAUGACGCUAUUUAAGAUGAGAAGACACCACAUCCAACUCAAAAUCUUAAGGUGUCAAGUUAAUGGAUCUCUCAUCUUAUAAAUUCCUCACUCUUCCUUGUUUUUUUUUAUGUGGGACUAACUUCAACACUCCUCACAUUUGCAACACUAACAGCUGUAACACUGACAUAUAGGUGAUGAAAGAAUAUAAAGUGCAUUCAUCUUGGACUCUCUAUCAGAUUCCUUGCAAAUUCUUUCAGCCAUUGUGCCUAUCCAGGAAUGGUGAUAUUAUUGGAAGAGCUAAUGAUUUUUCCGAAAUGGAGUUCUACAUGUAUAAUCUCAGAGAAGAGAGACUCCAAGGUUUUAAAAAUCCUUAUUUUUCGGUCAACUUCUUUGAAUCCCAACCUGUGUAUACAGAGUCUCUUGCCACUCCCCUGGUGACAUUAAGGAUAAGGAUAAGGAUAAUAACAAUAAUAAAAGAAGGAAAACCUCCAUCAAGUUCACCGUGAAUGUUUUGAACAACUUGAUGUUGCUAAAGGUUAGCAUCAUGAAGGAUUCAAACAAAGGAAGAGAAUUAGGAGCCAAAUACAAGUGAACAGCUUGACACACCGGGAAGAACAUUUGGAAAGUGCAAAUGAAAGUUUGGUCUCUUUUUGGUUAAAUCUAAUAUAUCUUUUGAAUCAAAUUUAAUAGUAAUAUUUUUUAGUUGGUUAUGCAAAACUUAGAUGUUUUAUUUUGCAGAUUACAUGAUGUACUUUUUUUUUUUAUCAUGUCAAAACCUUAUGAACAUAAUCUUAGAAGUUUUAAUUGUAGAUUAUUUUGGGAAUAAUAAGUUUCUUCUGCAGACUUCAAAUGCAAGGUGUGAAAUCCA